GGUGCGAAAGCGAGAGGUAGUCUCCGUGCUGUCGAGCCCUUAGGUACACCUUACUACUACGCGCGAAAAAAGAACUUCAUCGUGUCUCUUCGAUUUUUAUCCAGAUCUCAUCACUCGUUAGGCCGCUGCUCGUACGCUUUUUUUCACCAAAAAAGAAGCUUGCGAGCCCGCUCGAUAGCCUGUUCUCGAUGUCGAAUUAAAAGAAAAUAGGAAGAGUGCAGAAAGAAAAGAGAGAGAGAGAAAGAUAGAGAUAGAGAUAGAUAGAUAGAUAGAGAGAGAGAGAGAGAGAGAGAGAGAGAAAAGAAAAGAGGAGAAAAAAAUUAUUACAAAAUCAACGGGAAGACGAGCGACAAAAAGAAAUCAAGGGAACGGACUUCGCGUGAAACUACUGAUGGGACGUACGAACAUAAAAAAAAAAAAAAAGGGGGAAAUACUUAACCUAAAUCGUUCAUAAUCGCCAAAAGCACUUUAAUCUUCGUUCCGAGAUUCACGGUGGCGGCCUCGAUGGCGGCGGUGCCUCGUCGAAGUAAAAUAAUUGAAUAAGCCGGAGGCGGAAGCUAGACUAGGAAGAGUAGAGGGGUAGCAGGGAGAAAGGAUAGAAAGAGAUAGACAGACGUCGAGAGAGAUAGAUAGAUAGAUAAAGAAAGAGAGAGAGAGAGAGAGAGAGAAAGAGAGAUAGAGAAAAGUACCUUUCGUAAGACGAAAUUUAUAAUAAUUCUAUCGGCACCCACAGGGCUCUGUAAGAGGGAUGAUAAGGCUCCUUUCCUUUUGACUAAGAGGAAGGACCUUCGUCGUUCUUUAGUCCUUCCAAGAAGGAACAGUUAAAGAGAUAAGACGUUAAGAAGAAAGAAAGAGGAGAAUCGCACUGUUCCAAUUUCAAGAAGGAGAAGAAUAACAAUAUUAAUAAUAAUAAUAAUAGAAAAAGGAAAGAGACGAGAGGAACGAAGGGA